rnacentral:rRNA from 1 species
UGGGGAAUAUUGCACAAUGGAGGGAACUCUGAUGCAGCGACGCCGCGUGAAGGAAGAAGGUUUUCGGAUUGUAAACUUCUAUCAGCAGGGACGAAAAUGACGGUACCUGACUAAGAAGCCCCGGCUAACUACGUGCCAGCAGCCGCGGUAAUACGUAGGGGGCAAGCGUUAUCCGGAAUUACUGGGUGUAAAGGGUGCGUAGGCGGUAAUGUAAGUCAGGUGUGAAAGCCCGAGGCUCAACUUCGGGAUUGCACUUGAAACUACAUAACUAGAGUACAGGAGAGGUGAGUGGAAUUCCUAGUGUAGCGGUGAAAUGCGUAGAUAUUAGGAGGAACACCAGUGGCGAAGGCGACUCACUAGACUGUAACUGACGCUGAGGCACGAAAGCGUGGGUAGCGAACAGG